rnacentral:rRNA from 1 species
CCUACGGGAGGCAGCAGUAGGGAAUAUUGCUCAAUGGGGGAAACCCUGAAGCAGCAACGCCGCGUGGAGGAUGAAGGUUCUCGGAUUGUAAACUCCUUUUGUUAGAGAAGAUAAUGACGGUAUCUAACGAAUAAGCACCGGCUAACUCCGUGCCAGCAGCCGCGGUAAUACGGAGGGGGCAAGCGUUAUUCGGAAUUACUGGGCGUAAAGAGCGCGUAGGCGGGAUAGCAAGUCAGAUGUGAAAGCCUAUGUCUUAACCCUAGAACUGCAGUUGAAACUGUUAUUCUAGAGUAGAGGAGGGGUAGGUGGAAUUCUUGGUGUAGGGGUGAAAUGCGUAGAGAUCAAGAGGAAUACUGAUGGCGAAGGCGACCUGCUAGAACGUAACUGACGCUGAGGCGCGAAAGCGUGGGGAGCAAACAGGAUUAGAUACCCCAGUAGUC